rnacentral:rRNA from 1 species
GACGAACGCUGGCGGCGUGCCUAAUACAUGCAAGUAGAACGCACAGUUUAUACCGUAGCUUGCUACACCAUAGACUGUGAGUUGCGAACGGGUGAGUAACGCGUAGGUAACCUGCCUGGUAGCGGGGGAUAACUAUUGGAAACGAUAGCUAAUACCGCAUAAUAUUAAUUAUUGCAUUAUAAUUAAUUGAAAGGUGCAAUUGCACCACUACCAGAUGGACCUGCGUUGUAUUAGCUAGUAGGUGAGGUAACGGCUCACCUAGGCGACGAUACAUAGCCGACCUGAGAGGGUGAUCGGCCACACUGGGACUGAGACACGGCCCAGACUCCUACGGGAGGCAGCAGUAGGGAAUCUUCGGCAAUGGACGAAAGUCUGACCGAGCAACGCCGCGUGAGUGAAGAAGGUUUUCGGAUCGUAAAGCUCUGUUGUAAGAGAAGAACGGGUGUGAGAGUGGAAAGUUCACACUGUGACGGUAUCUUACCAGAAAGGGACGGCUAACUACGUG